AAGUCGUAACAAGGUUUCCGUAGGUGAACCUGCGGAAGGAUCAUUAACACGUAUCCAACGUUAAACAACCCUGUGAACUUUCAGCCUGCUCUUGUAACCAUGAGGAACAGCAAUCCCGGUAAAUCAUUGCAAACAGUUUUGAUUCGGGACCUCUGUCCAAAAGGUGUUACAAUCCCCAAGCAGUUAGUGAAUGACAGUGUCACUGAUUGUGUAAGGAUAACGCCUCACGGUUGCCAGAGGUCGAUCACCGACCGGCAGACAUGUCACAGGGUCACCACGCCCCUUAAUCACCCCAAUUUGAAAUUGCUCCUACCUGGUGGUAACGCACUGGGUCAAAAAAACCGAACAACUGUUAACAAUGGAUAUCUUGGUUCUC
rnacentral:misc_RNA from 1 species